CACUGGAUUCUUGAGAAGUGUUGUCUUUAACGAGUAAUUUUUAAACGCUUAUUAUUUCCUGUACUGAGCAGCCGAAUUUCUUCGUGAAUGAACUUGCUCUCCAGCGCUGCAUGGCCAAAGGCGGAGUCUGUAAGCACAGCACGCACUGUCUGCAGAGUUUGAGGGACACUCAGCUGUGUGGGUCUUCAGAUGACAUAGUCUGCUGCGUAAAGCUGCCGGGAUUGUGUCGCGCCCAAGGAGGAGAAUGUCUGCCCAGGGGCGAGUGUGGCGGAGGACGCCAUGCGCCGGUCUUCCUGGACGCGGAGUGUGAGAAGCCAGAACUCGGUUGCUGCGUCCGCACACCGUAGAGGUGCUUCUAUAAGGGAAAGAAAUUGGAAGAUAAUGGUAACGGCAAACAUUUUACACUCUGAAUAUCGGGCUAAAAAUGUGAAUAGAAAUUAACAAUGUCAUUUUUAAUUGGGAAUUUUAACAAAAUUAUCAUUAAAUAUGGCUGCUGCGUCCGCACACCGUGAAAGUGCUUCUACAAGAGAAAAGUAUUGGAAGAUAAUGGUAACGGCAAACAUUUUACACUUUGAAUAUCGGGCUAAAAAUGUGAAUAGAAAUUAUCAGUGUCAUUUUUAAUUGUAAAUUUUAUCGGAAGUGUCAUUAAGCAUGGCUAAAAAUUAACCCGAUAUUCGAUGUACUAUAUACUUGCUGCUAAUACCAUCGGGUAAUAUACUUUCCUCGCGUAUCAGUCUUUGAAGCGUCACAGUUUCGUCAGGUCAAAGUUGCUCGAACAAAUUGAAAAGGCGUUGGCAUAUCUUCAAAGUCCGAAAUUACGUCAAAAAUUUUCGACAUAUUAAACAAAUGUUUCUUUGGUUAGAUUUUUUUUAAUAGCGAGUAAAGAACAGCCUAAAUGUUAUUAUCAAUGUUUUUAAGGCUUGAUUUUUGUUAUAAACAUUAGAAAAACAUUAAUUUUCCUAACAUGUUUCUCUGACAAUGAAGUCUUAAUUUUGGGAACUCAUAUUACUUAUUUCAAAUAUUGUACUAAUUUAAGAGAAAAAUUUAUACAAUAUGAAAAAUCUUCCAAAUGAAAAGGCGUUUAGGUGUUCAAAUUCACAGUCAACGGUAUUAUUUCUAGAGUGUUGAAAUAAAAAUUUUACUCCUUACAUUAUAUUGAACACCUUUUUUAUUGCUCGUUUGUUUGUUCAUGCUCACAUCUUCAGCGUGACAAAAAUAAAUGAUUUUUUAAAAAAAAGA